AACGAACGCUGGCGGCAGGCUUAACACAUGCAAGUCGAGCGCCCUUCUCGGAGGGAGCGGCAGACGGGUGAGUAACACGUGGGAAUCUACCCAUCACUACGGAACAACUCCGGGAAACUGGAGCUAAUACCGUAUACGUCCUUCGGGAGAAAGAUUUAUCGGUGAUGGAUGAGCCCGCGUUGGAUUAGCUAGUUGGUGGGGUAAAGGCCUACCAAGGCGACGAUCCAUAGCUGGUCUGAGAGGAUGAUCAGCCACACUGGGACUGAGACACGGCCCAGACUCCUACGGGAGGCAGCAGUGGGGAAUAUUGGACAAUGGGCGCAAGCCUGAUCCAGCCAUGCCGCGUGAGUGAUGAAGGCCCUAGGGUUGUAAAGCUCUUUCACCGGUGAAGAUAAUGACGGUAACCGGAGAAGAAGCCCCGGCUAACUUCGUGCCAGCAGCCGCAGUAAAAC
rnacentral:rRNA from 1 species